CUGCUUCAGUAGCUCAUAUACUAAGAAUACAAUGACAAAGAGGGGAUCAGAAUGGCCCCUACACAAGGAUGCAUGCAAAUUUGCAAAGCAUUCCAUAGUUUU